GACCGUAGCUGAAGUAUGUGCUGUAGGUGAAAGCACCCACACUGGGCCUGUAAAGAACUGCCUUUAUUUCAAAAGGAGGAAAAAGUAAUUGAAGCCUUAAGUUUGUGUAAUUGGUAUCUAUAUUUCAUCACUCAUUUGAGACUUAAAAGUAAUUAAAGCCUCAUAACUAAUGUUUUGUGUUCUCACAUUAGCUAAACCAAAGAAUCUAUUGAGUCUCAACACAGUACAGUAAGUUAAGAGAGCACAUUUGUGCCUUAGAGCAGUUAAAUAGAGGAGAAACCCAUGAACAGAGAUGAAACCCCAUUUACAGAGAAAUGAAACUCCAUCUCAUCUGACCUAUUGCGACUACUUAAAGGGGCUUUUAAAUUGUGAGUCACCAUUUCAGGGCAGGCCAUUAUGACAAAUCAGACAGAUGUGUAAGGGAAAGGUCCAUGGCCGGGUGUGGUGGCUCACGCCUGUAAUCCCAGCAGUUUGGGAGGCCGAGGCGGACAGAUCACGAGGUCAGGAGUUCGAGACCAGCCUCGCCAACAUGGUCACUCGGGCCAGCCCAGAUUCAAGGGUUGCUGGUUGGAGAAACAGGAUCCACCUCCCAGUGGAGGAGUGACUUCGGCAUCCAAGGAGGGAAGGAGUGGAUGGUGGCCCUCUUCAGAUGAGGCUGCCACAAUCACAAAUUCAUUCUUCUCCAUGGUAUCAGCAACCUUUAUAGUUACUUCUCACGGGUGUGGAAGGAGCAACGUUGGAAGGUGGGAGCUGAAGAGGUCUGGGAAGUGGUGUAUGGAGGGCCAAUGGAGUGGAUACAAAGCUCAAGGAUCGAGCCAGGUGCGGGGGGUCACACCUGUAAUCCCAGCAC